UACAGAGGGUGCAAGCGUUAAUCGGAAUUACUGGGCGUAAAGCGUGCGUAGACGGUUAUCUAAGUCGGGUGUGAAAGCCCCGGGCUCAACCUGGGAAUUGCAUUCGAUACUGGAUAGCUAGAGUUCGGCAGAGGGAAGUGGAAUUUCCGGUGUAGCGGUGAAAUGCGUAGAUAUCUGGAGGAACACCGGUGGCGAAGGCGGCAUUCUGGACCGAUAUUGACGCUGAGGAGCGAAAGCCAGGGGAGCAAACGGG
rnacentral:rRNA from 1 species